rnacentral:lncRNA from 1 species
CCGGAAGGUGCUGAAAGAAACACAUUUCGAGUAGUAAAAACAAGUGUCCAGGAAGGAGCUUUCAUCAGCUUAUAACAAACGAGGGACUCAUGUUUCUCCACCUGGAUCUGGAAUGGACUGGAGAGAAACAGCAGGGAGCUGUGAGCAGCUGGCGGCAGGAGCCACCCUGCUCUUAGCAGCACUAGUUGGCUGCUGAGUGGCCCCUAUUUGACUCUUUUGUUGUUGCUCCCUAUAUGACCCUUCCUCCUCUCCCCCAUCUCCUUCCCUUCCCUUCCUUUCCCUUCCCUUCCCUUCCCUUCCCUUCCCUUCCCUUCCCUUCCCCCUCCUUCCCUUCCUUCCUUUUCUUUCUUUUUUCUUUUCAGUUUCUGCUUUUCACACAGGAUCUCACAUAGCCCAGGCUGGCCUUGAAUGUACCACAUAGAGGGGCUGAGUAUUGCACAGCUACCCACAGCAACACUACCUGCUCCAGAGACAAUGAAGCUGAAGAAUGUCUUGCAGAAGGAAAAUGCCUCUCAGCCCUGAAACUAGGAACACUAAAGAGGGUCAAAGCACAAGACAUCCAUCCCUAGCCAGUGUUCCCACCCGUGGAGAAAGUGAGAGUACACUGAGUGAGUAACCAGUCCAUGUUUUCCUUAUCCCACCCAAACGUUUU